rnacentral:lncRNA from 1 species
AUGUUCGCGAGUCUCAUUUAACAGGGGAAGGUGAAAGAAAAUUCUCUCCUAAUCUCUCCAAUUUGGGAGGAUGAAUAUAUGGUCAUAUUUGGUCAUAUUUUCUUUCCUUUUCCCUCCCCUCCCCUGUUAAAUGAGACUUGUGAACAGAGUGUAAAUCCUCAAAUUUGCACCACUUCUGAACUAAAUACCCAAAUUCUUCCAAAUUCCGAUCGUGUCGCGGAAAAAAAAUCUAGUGGAUCGUCAAUCAUCUGGAGCAUCUUUCAACGGUCAAUUUCAUCGUCCGCCACCAGAACCAACGACGACACACCACAACGUACUCACCGGAGCUUCGUCCGCCAGAAAAUCCACCGAUCCAAUCGUCUCUGCAUAACCGUCUCCGUACAGUCGACCAAAACUCAAAAGUUCUAUGGAAACAAUGGAAACACCUGUUUUGGAGGUCCGAAGCGAAACAAAACAAACGCUUGUAGCGGAAUUAGGGCAAAAUGUUGAUGAAAUAGUCGUGAAAGUUGGUGAGGUCUAGCAGAGUUUAAGGAGCUUUUCGGGACCUUUACGGGUCACCGGGACGAAAAACG